rnacentral:lncRNA from 1 species
AUUUGGUCGAUGGUUUCCUGGUACUCCUUCUCACGGCUCUUGAAUAAUGACUCUGUGUCUUUGAUCACCUUCUCCAGGCUGUCAUCCUGCUGCUCCCCCUGCACCUCUGCAGCUGCAAUGGCGUAUCCAGAGAAGUCCUCCCAGAGGAGCAGUGUCUCUUCCGUUUCCUCCCAUGUGAGGCUGUCACAGUCAUCUUCAAAAUCG